UCAGCGAUUUCGCCCGAUACGGUACUGC
rnacentral:piRNA from 1 species